rnacentral:rRNA from 1 species
CUACGGGCGGCACCAGAGGGGAAUAUUGCACAAUGGGCGCAAGCCUGAUGCAGCCAUGCCGCGUGUAUGAAGAAGGCCUUCGGGUUGUAAAGUACUUUCAGCGGGGAGGAAGGGAGUAAAGUUAAUACCUUUGCUCAUUGACGUUACCCGCAGAAGAAGCACCGGCUAACUCCGUGCCAGCAGCCGCGGUAAUACGGAGGGUGCAAGCGUUAAUCGGAAUUACUGGGCGUAAAGCGCACGCAGGCGGUUUGUUAAGUCAGAUGUGAAAUCCCCGGGCUCAACCUGGGAACUGCAUCUGAUACUGGCAAGCUUGAGUCUCGUAGAGGGGGGUAGAAUUCCAGGUGUAGCGGUGAAAUGCGUAGAGAUCUGGAGGAAUACCGGUGGCGAAGGCGGCCCCCGGGACGAAGACUGACGCUCAGGUGCGAAAGCGUGGGGAGCAAACAGGAUUAGAUACCCGUGUAGUC